rnacentral:rRNA from 1 species
AUGGAGGGUCUCCCAGAGGCACUGCUUGCAGAGAUCUUGAAGAGGGUUACCAAGACAAGUGAUCGUAAUUCUCUUUCCCUCGUGUCGAAGCAGCUGUGCACCGUCGAGGCAGAGCACAGGGAUGCUAUCCGUGUUGGCCGUGGACUCAAACCUACAAUAGCAGCCUUGGUAUCGCUGUUCUCCCGGUUCCCCAAUUUGGUUAAAGUAGAGAUAAAUUAUUCUGGAUGGAAGCCCAGUUACAGGGGCCAGUUGAAAAACCAAGGCCUCCUUGUUCUAUCAUCUCACUGCCCCUUGCUGUCUGAUCUUGCUUUAAGCUUCUGCACUUCCAUUGAUGACUCUGGUCUUGGUUAUCUAGCUGACUGCAAAAGUUUGAUGUCCCUCAGGCUGAACCACACACCAGCUGUCACUUCUACUGGGAUUUUUCGGGUGGCGGUUGGUUGCAGGCAUCUUUCGGUUCUCCACCUUGUUGACUAUACGGGAGUAGACAACAUGGAGUGGCUUGAGUACCUUGGGAGGUAUGGAUCGUUGAGGGAACUUGUUGUAAAGGAUUGCAAUGGAAUCAGCCAGUAUGACAUCAUAAAAUUUGGUCCAGGAUGGGCGAAUCUCCAAAAAUUUGAGUUCGAGAAUAAUGGAAAUUACUGGAUGACAGGGGCCCGUGACCCCUCCAACGUGUCUGGAUACCCAUAUAGCUAUGACAUCUGCUGUGAUAGUUUGAAGGACCUUAGGUUGGCUCAUUUUAGAACUCAGCCAGAGAUUGGACUUCUUUUUCUCCUGGGGAAGUGCAAAGCAUUGGAGACACUUUACCUGGAGUAUGUUAUUGGUAUAAAUGAGAAUGAGAUGAUUGCACUAUUCCAGAGGUGCAGCAACCUUAAGACCAUCUCACUUCGGCUUAUGCCUGUGCGAUGUGAAGAUUAUGAGUUUAGGACGCCACUGACUGAUGUUAGCCUUAAGGCUCUAGCUCUCAGCUGCCCUAUGCUUCAGGUUGUAGAGCUCACUUUCACAUAUUGCGAACACAAGUAUCCUACCAGAAUUGGCUUCACACAAAAGGGUAUUGUGACGCUCAUCCAAUCUUGUCCAAUUCACACUCUUUUGCUAGAUGGUGCCAACAUUUUUAAAGACAAGGGGAUGAAGGGCCUCUCAUCCUCGCGGUUCCUGGAGACACUCAAGCUCGUGAAUUGCAGGUCUGUUACUGAUGCUGGUAUUGGUUUCAUUAUUCAGGCUCCUUCCUUGAGCAGUCUCAUCCUCUGCGAAUGUGAGAAAGUGACAGAUGAUGGAAUGGCUGCGCUGGUACGUUUGCAGAAGUUGGAGUCCUUGAACGUUAUAGGGUGUUGUAAGGUCUCUGAGGAGGGUGUCCAGGGUGCUGCCAGAUCAGUUCACUACGCGGCAGAGGUGGAACGCUAUGACAUCCUAAAAGGAAUAAAGCUCACUCAGUCUUGGGAGUAA